rnacentral:lncRNA from 1 species
GAGUUCUCUCUCUUCUUCUCUUCGCUAGCAUGGCUAAGGGUCUGUCGAUUUUGUUUAUUUUUUCAAAGAACCAACUUUUAGUUUUGUCAAUUUUUUCAAUUGUUUCUUUUGUUUCGAUUUCAUUAAUUUCAGCUCUGAUUUUAAUUAUUUCUUGCCUUCUACUUCUUUUGCUGUUGUUUUGCUCUUCUUUUUCAAGGAUUUUGAGAUGAAGUAUGAGAUCAUUUAUUUGUUGGUUUUUUCUUUUUUUAAGGAAUGAACUCCAAGCAAUGAAUUUUCCUCUUAGAACUGCUUUCAAUGUGUCCCAUAGAUUCCGAUAUGUUGUGUCUGUGUUUUCAUUUAUCUCUAAGAAUUUUUUAAUUUCCUCCUUGAUGUCUUCUAUAACCCAUUGAUCAUUCAGUAACCUAUUGUUCAUUCUCCAAGUGAUGUAUGCUUUUUCCUUCCUUCUUUUAUCGUUGAUUUUCAGUUUCAUUCCAUUAUGAUCAGAUAAGAUGCAUGGUAUUAUCUCUACUCCUUUAUAUUGUCUAAGAGUUGCCCUGUGACAUAAUAUAUGAUCUAUUUUUGAGAAGGAUCCAUGUGCUGCUGAGAAAAAAGUGUAACUGCUUGAUGUUGGGUGGUAUACUCUAUAUAUGUCAAUUAGGUCUAGGUUAUUAAUUGUGUUAUUGAGUUCUAUAGUUUCCUUAUUCAACUUUUGUUUGGAAGAUCUGUCCAGUGGCGAGAGAGGUGUGUUGAAGUCUCCCAUGAUUAUUGUAUGGUGGUCUAUUAGACUCUUGAACUUGAGAAGAGUUUGUUUGAUGAACAUAGCUGCACCGUUGUUUGGGGCAUAUAUAUUUAUGAUUGUUAUGUCUUGUUGGUGUAUGGUUCCCUUAAGCAGUAUGUAGUGUCCCUCUUUAUCCCUUUUGAUUAACUUUGGCUUGAAAUCUAUUUUAUUUGAUAUGAGUAUGGACACUCCUGCUUGUUUCCGAAGUCCAUAUGAGUGAUAUGAUUUUUCCCAACCUUUCACCUUCAGCCUAUGUAUGUCUUUUCCUAUCAAAUGCGUCUCCUGUAGGCAGCAUAUUGUUGGGUCUUGUUUUGUGAUCCAUUCUACUAGCCUGUGUCUCUUAAUUGGUGAGUUUAAGCCAUUAACAUUUAGGGUUAUUAUUGAGAUAUGGGUUGUUCUUCCAGCCAUAUUUGUUUAUUUCUGUUACUAAACAUGGUUUGUUUUCCUCUUUGAUUAUUUUCCCCCCUUUAGUGUCCUACCUCCCACUGUUGGUUUUCAUUGUUAUUUUCCAUUUCCUCUUCCUGUAAUGUUUUGCCAAGGAUGUUUUGAAGAGAUGGUUUUCUAGCUGCAAAUUCUUUUAACUUUUGUUUAUCGUGGAAGGUUUUAAUUUCAUCUUCCAUCCUGAAGCUUAAUUUCGCUGGAUACACAAUUCUUGGUUGGAACCCAUUUUCUUUCAGUGUUUGAAAUAUGUUAUUCCAGGAUCUUCUAGCUUUCAGAGUCUGUGUUGAAAGAUCAGCUGUUAUCCUGAUUGGCUUACCCCUAAAUGUAAUCUGCUUCCUUUCUCUUGUAGCUUUUAAAAUUCUCUCCUUAUUCUGUAUGUUGGGCAUCUUCAUUAUAAUGUGUCUAGGUGUGGAUCUCUUAUGAUUUUGCACAUUCGGCGUCCUGUAGGCUUCUAGGAUUUGGGAUUCUGUCUCAUUCUUCAAGUCUGGGAAGUUUUCUCGUAUUAUUUCAUUGAAUAGAUUGCUCAUUCCUUUGGUUUGGAGUUCUGUACCUUCCUGUAUCCCAAUGACUCUUAAGUUUGGUCUCUUAAUGUUAUCCCAUAUUUCUUGGAUGUUCUGCUCAUGGUUUCUUAACAGUCUUGCUGAGCUGUCUAUGUUCUUUUCCAGUUGAAAUACUUUGUCUUCAUUGUCUGAUGUUCUAUCUUCUAAGUGUUCUACUCUGCUGGUAGUAUUCUCCAUUGAGUUUUUAAGUUGGUUUAUUGCUUCCUGCAUUUCUAGGAUUUCUGUUUGUUUGUUUUUUAUAACCUCUAUCUCCCUGUAUAGUUGAUCCUUUGCUUCCUGGAUUUGUUUGCGUAAUUCGUUGUCGAAGUGAUCUUUCAUUGUCUGAUUUUGCUGUUUAAUGUCUUCCUUGAUACUCCAGAUCAUCUGAAGCAUGUAUAUCCUGAAUUCUUUAUCUGACAUUCCAUCUGCUGCAGCUGUUACCUCUUCUAAAGUUGCGUUGACCUGCAUUGCUUGUGGUCCUUUCUUUCCUUGUCUUUUCAUACUGCUUGCGUAUCUUUCCUGCAGGUGCGGGCGGCGGCUCUGCUCUCUCCUUAUUCCAAUUGGGGUGUCGUGGCUACCACGCCGGCAGGUCACUGGGCCUGUUCUGGGCGCUGGCGGCGGCUCUGUUCUGCCCCUACUCCAAUUGGGGUGACGAGUGUACCACGCCGGCAGGCCACCGGGCCUGAUCCGCCGGUCGGUUGCAGGUUUGCCUACCCUGCAGGCGCGGGCGGCGGCUCUACUCUGCCCCUACUCCAAAUGGGGUGACGUGUCUGUCGUACCGGCAGGCCACUGGGCCUGUCCCGCUGGUCGGUCGCAGAUCUGCCCACCUUUCGGGCACGGGUGGAGGCUCUGCUCUGCCCCUACUCCAAUUGGGGUGACGUGUGUACCACGCCGGCAGGCCACCGGGCCUGAUCCGCCGGUCGGUUGCAGGUUUGCCUACCCUGCAGGC